AUAUGGCCAGAGAAACGAGGACAGAAAGUUCAAAAAGCUACAGUAAAACAAGUCUGUUAAACUUCUCAUUGAUAUUUUUUGUUUUUUAAUUAAAUCCUACAGGUUGUCACUGUCAAAUAUUUCACAACAGACAAACCUGACUGGUACUUUUCCAAAAACAGUUGUAGUGCAAAAUGCAAGCUUGAGGCGAGGAUAACUUGCAUUUGGCUAUAUUUCAUUUGCAUUUGCUCUAGCUGUGCUGACCUCAUAUUGUCUGGAUUAACAUCUGCCUUCAUGUCUUCAUCUUCGUCUUCAGAUUCAGAAAAAUCAUGCUCUGUACAGAAUUUUAAAAAGAUGAGUACAUGUUCUGACUGCCUGGUGGACCAUCAAACAUAAGGGUGCAAGAUUGGCAUCUUUUAGACAUGCCUUCGCUCGAAGGACAAACCUUUAAACGAAAAUAAACACUAACUCUUUUCGACUUCCAUUAAACUAAAUGCGGACAGAAUGACUUGUAUACCUGUUAGAUUCUAUGGUAGGAAAACAUUUAUACAUUCUAUACAUUUUAUAACUCAAAACCUCAGUGGAAAAAAAAUUUGACUUAUCAGAUUUUGAGCAAAUGAAAGUUACUGAGCCUUGCACACAUGUACAUGUACAUGAACAGGAAACACUACUUGCCCCCACAGUAGCUACUGGAGACGUUUCAAGUGGUUGUUUCCUUACAUCCAACAACAAAUUCUUCUACAAAUCAUCAGUUUGCCGAGAUUUCAUGUUUUUAUUAUGCAUGUAAAAUUUUCUAUUCCACUGAGAAGUAUAACACAAACCACCAAAAUUGUAUACUUUUUGUGACAUUUCUCUCGCACACAAAGGUGUGAAGCAUACAGUGCUUGCUCGAUUGGCUAGUGCUGGACACGGGGUUUUUCUGUUUGACCCCAUGAUCAUUUCUUUUAAAUCCCUUUGGGGCUCACCAUUUUGCAUUU